ACACUGAUGGUGAAGCGGUUAUCAUGCUUGCCUUCCAGCGCUUACGUAAGCGUUAUAACCGCUACGUAAUUCGGGUAGCAAGCGGCAGGGGUUCGACUCCCCUUCAGUGUA